GUGCUUGCUUUGGCAGCACAUAUACUAAAAUUGGAAUAAUACAGAGAAGAUUAGCAUGGCCCCUGUGCAAGGAUGACUCGCAAAUUCAUGGUGUUCCAUAUUAAA
rnacentral:snRNA from 1 species